AGUUAACGCGCGUCAGGAGCGGAAGCGGAAGCGGCUAGUCUCCAUGGCGGUGGCGGCGACAGCGGCUGCAAGACCCGUGUUUUGGAGGCGACUGCUGGGCCUCCUGCCUGGCCGCCCCGGGCUGGCCGCGCUCCUGGGACGCCUGUCCGACCGCCUCGGCAGGAACCGGGACCGCCGGCGCAGGAGGUCACCAUGGCUGUUACUGGCUCCCUUGCUGUCCCCAGCUGUUCCCCAGGUCACUUCCCCACCGUGCUGCCUGUGUCCAGAAGGUGUGCACCGGUUCCAGUGGAUCAGAAACCUGGUUCCAGAAUUUGGAGUCUCCAGUUCUCAUGUUAGGGUGCUUUCUUCCCCGGCAGAGUUUUUUGAGCUCAUGAAGGGGCAGAUAAGAGCGGCCAAGAGGCGAGUCGUGAUGGCAUCCCUCUACCUGGGGACAGGUCCUUUGGAACAGGAGCUGGUGGACUGCCUGGAAAGUACUCUAGAAAAGUCACUCCAAGCAAAGUUUCCUUCAGAUCUCAAGGUCUCCAUUCUCUUAGACUUCACACGGGGCUCACGAGGCCGGAAGAACUCCCGCACGAUGCUGCUCCCACUCCUGCAGAGGUUCCCAGAGCAGGUCCGAGUCUCCCUCUUUCACACGCCGCACCUCCGCGGCCUGCUCCGGCUCCUCAUCCCUGAGCGCUUCAAUGAGACCAUCGGCCUCCAGCACAUUAAGGUGUACCUCUUUGACAACAGCGUCAUCUUGAGCGGUGCAAACCUGAGUGACUCCUACUUCACCAACCGCCAGGACCGCUACGUGUUCUUGCAGGACUGUGCGGAGAUUGCCGACUUCUUCACUGAGCUGGUGGAUGCAGUGGGGGAUGUGUCCCUGCAGCUGCAGGGGGACGACACGGUGCAGGUGCUGGAUGGGAUGGUGCAUCCUUACAAAGGUGACCGGGCGGAGUACUGUAAGGCAGCUAAUAAGAGGGUCAUGGAUGUGAUCAACUCAGCCAGGACCCGCCAGCAGAUGCUGCACGCCCAGACCUUCCAUGGCAACUCCCUUUUGACCCAGGAAGAUGCAGUGGCUGCUGGGGACCGCAGACCAGCCCCUGACACCUGGAUUUAUCCACUGAUUCAGAUGAAGCCCUUCGAGAUUCAAAUCGAUGAGAUUGUCACUGAGACCCUGUUGACUGAGGCCGAGUGCGGUGCAAAGGUCUACCUCACCACUGGCUACUUCAACCUGACCCAGGCCUACAUGGACCUGGUCUUGGGCACUCGGGCUGAGUACCAGAUCCUGCUGGCCUCACCAGAGGUGAAUGGCUUCUUCGGGGCCAAGGGGGUGGCCGGCGCCAUCCCAGCCGCCUAUGUACACAUCGAGCGGCAGUUCUACAGCGAAGUGUGCAGCCUGGGACAGCAGGAGCGGGUCCAGCUGCAGGAGUACUGGCGGAGGGGCUGGACAUUCCAUGCCAAAGGCCUCUGGCUGUACCUGGCAGGGAGCAGCCUGCCCUGUCUCACGCUGAUUGGCUCUCCUAAUUUUGGGUACAGGUCAGUUCACCGGGACCUGGAGGCCCAGAUUGCGAUCGUGACAGAGAACCAGGCACUGCAGCAGCAGCUUCACCAGGAGCAAGAGCAGCUCUACCUGAGGUCGGGUAUGGUGUCAUCUGCCACCUUUGAGCAGCCGAGUCGGCAGGUGAAGUUGUGGGUGAAGAUGGUAACUCCACUGAUCAAGAACUUCUUCUGAGGACAGACAGAGAUGCGUCCUUCUAGUCUCUGGGGGUUGAGUAACAGGACCCGUUCUGCCCACCCAGGAGGGGCCUGCCGCUUCACCAGGGGCACCAGUGGGGUCCCACAGUCACCUGAGGAACCCUGGACUGUCUUGACGCCUGGAGGUCCAGGCAGGAGUUGGCUGCCAUUAAAGCCUGUUGGGUCCUAAGAUGGUUGUGAACCAUUACCCUCAGAAUUUGGACUUUGUAGAUGCUUUUUAACUCGUGAUUUAGGAAUGGCCUUGAUGAAGAUGACAGGCAUGACCGGCGUCAGCUCCUUCAGCCGCGCUUCAGCGAUGACUCCGGUCUGGGUGUCCCAGCGAGCCCCUGCGGGGACGGCAUGGCUGAGGGUUGGGAGGUGACUGG